AUACUUACCUGGCAGGAGUGAUACCGUGAUCAAGAAGGUGUUUUUUUCCCAGGGCAAUGCUUACUCAUUGCACUCUAGGGCAUUAAUAAGAGAGUUUGUAUUACAUGAAAAAAAGUAACAACAAAAUCAGAUGGACAUUUAUGAAUCUCAAUUUUGCAGAACAGUAAAAAAUAUUUGAGGAAGAAAGAUUGCUAUCGUAUUCUUC
rnacentral:snRNA from 13 species